rnacentral:rRNA from 1 species
GUGAUCUACCCUUGGUCAGGUUGAAGUUCAGGUAACACUGAAUGGAGGACCGAACCGACUUACGUUGAAAAGUGAGCGGAUGAACUGAGGGUAGCGGAGAAAUUCCAAUCGAACCUGGAGAUAGCUGGUUCUCUCCGAAAUAGCUUUAGGGCUAGCCUCAAGUGAUGAUUAUUGGAGGUAGAGCACUGUUUGGACGAGGGGCCCCUCUCGGGUUACCGAAUUCAGACAAACUCCGAAUGCCAAUUAAUUUAACUUGGGAGUCAGAACAUGGGUGAUAAGGUCCGUGUUCGAAAGGGAAACAGCCCAGACCACCAGCUAAGGUCCCAAAAUAUAUGUUAAGUGGAAAAGGAUGUGGCGUUGCCCAGACAACUAGGAUGUUGGCUUAGAAGCAGCCAUCAUUUAAAGAGUGCGUAAUAGCUCACUAGUCGAGUGACACUGCGCCGAAAAUGUACCGGGGCUAAACAUAUUACCGAAGCUGUGGAUUGUCCUUUGGACAAUGGUAGGAGAGCGUUCUAAGGGCGUUGAAGCAUGAUCGUAAGGACAUGUGGAGCGCUUAGAAGUGAGAAUGCCGGUGUGAGUAGCGAAAGACGGGUGAGAAUCCCGUCCACCGAUUGACUAAGGUUUCCAGAGGAAGGCUCGUCCGCUCUGGGUUAGUCGGGUCCUAAGCUGAGGCCGACAGGCGUAGGCGAUGGAUAACAGGUUGAUAUUCCUGUACCACCUAUAAUCGUUUUAAUCGAUGGGGGGACGCAGUAGGAUAGGCGAAGCGUGCGAUUGGAUUGCACGUCUAAGCAGUAAGGCUGAGUAUUAGGCAAAUCCGGUACUCGUUAAGGC